UGGCAGGUCGCGACAACGGACACCACUCCACUCUUCGUAACAAACUCCACAUGGCUCCGAACGACCCACUGAGACCACUACUCUCCGUAACAAACUCUACGUGAUCCUGAAUGGCCAACUACCAGGCAGUUACGGAUGUCACUAUCAAGCGGUUAUGCUCCUCCAUCUAUAAAAGGGAUCCCUCAGAUACGUUAUUCUCUAAGCUCAAACUCUAUCUCGAAACUCUGCUAAAAUUUCGUUUGAGUGC
rnacentral:lncRNA from 1 species